CGAUCGAUCUCGCCGCCCGCACAGGCACAGUCCCUCCGCCGCCUCCCCCUCACCGGCCACCCUCCGCCGCUCCAGUAAAUCCUCACCGGAGAGCCGACCCUCCUCCUGGACGAGUACCCCACGUAAGACGAUGCGCGCCGGCCGCCGCGGCGCCCGAGCCAUGGAGCUCCACGGGCGGAACUGGUGGCACGUCGAUGGGUACAAUCAGGGCGGCGCGACCUGGCUCUCGGCGACGACUUGGCACAGAAGGCACGAAUCGAGUGUUGGUUGCCUGCCCUAGGUGCUGCAGCCGAACUGCCUAUGAUUGUGACAAUUAAUGAUGACUCUUGUCCUAAGGAAGCAUUUCUGGAAAGGUCUCAAAAACCUUGACCCAUGAGUACUCUUUUGCGACGCAUCUCUAUGUUUUGGCGUCUCCUCUUCCUUACGGUGUUACAUAAAAUGAAUCUUCAUCAUUUGCAAUUCAAGUGGCUCCAUUGGCCCGCACAUGUUUGUCUUGGAGGCCACAGCACGGGGCAGGUUCCAAGGUGCACCUGUUGUUAUCAAGUACCCCCACAAAGGCCGCAAUUCAGGAGGCCUAUCCAACUCCCAUACUUCCCUCGGACAUUCUUGCAGAAAGACCUCCAGUGCAAAAGUUUGAGUUGGCCAAGGUAGCUUUCUGGAUGACGUGGAUGAGGAUGGACACAGGGAAAAGGGGGCGACGUGGACAUGCAGGGCCCCACUCGGAAGUCGCCCGGGCCCAUCUCGAGCUCGAUGGAGACGUCGACCACUACGGCACCCCACAAAAGCAUUUGUGCUCAUUAAUAUGAAGAAACAUGCUGCUGCCAUCCCUGAUGACAAGGUCGACGCUUAGGACCCACCACAAGGUCUCCGUCAAGAGCAGUGGCACCUCAUCGAGUCCUGCCAGCCCAUGCCACAACCGGGCAGCCCUUUCCGGCAAAGUGAUGAAGAGCGGCAAAUACACGCCCAGCUACUCAGCUUAUUUGGAUAACCGCCUAUGUUUGUGACCAUUAAUGACGACUCUUGUCCAAAGGAAGCGUCUUUUGAGAGGUCGCAAAAACCGUGACCCCUGACGGCUCCACUGCCCCACACAUGUUUGUCUUGGAGGCCACAACACAGGGCAGGUUCCAAAAUCCACCCAUUGUUAUCAAGUACUUUGCUCCCACAAAGGCCGCAAUUUAGGAGGCCUAUCAAACUCCCAUCCUUCCCUCUGACAUUCUUGCAGAAAGACCUCCAGUGCAGAAGUUUGAGUUGGCCAAGGUAGCUUUCUUGAUGACGUGGAUGAGAAUGGACAAGGGAAAAAGGGGGGCGGCGUGGACAUGCGGGGCCCCACCAAGAGGUCGCCCAGGCCCAUCUCGAGCUCGAUGGAGGCUUCGACCACUACGACCCCCCACAAAAGGAACAUCUUUCAUGGCUGGUUGCCAAUGGGGACCAUCUGUCCAACAAGUUACACAGCAGCGCGUUGGCAAUGUUGCCAGAGAGAGCAGAAUACGCUCUUCGGAAUCAUCAUCGAGUACAGUGUCGAGCAAGGCCCCAAGCAUUCCCAUGAUGGCCAGGCAGUACAGCAAGCCAUCCUUAUUUGACUGUUGCUGAUGGGCGUUGUCUGGAGCGUGGAGUUGGCUGGAGCUGGGUGAAGGGAGCAGUACCGCUUCAUCUCCACCCUCGCUGCCAUGCGGUAGCAGCGAGCGGUGGCCUCUUCCUCUCCAUGGUUUAGGUAAAGUUGCUGUUCCAGUGGUGGUGAACCCCUCCGUUGGUGUUGUGGUACUCGUGCUGUCCACCGGAACUGGCGUGCACUACGACACAUCCGCUACAGUACCACAUGCUCCCUCGGAAGAGGUUUCGCGUCUCACCACGAUGGAGGAAACGACUGCUAAUGUAAGCAUCAAUUCUCCCAAUGAUUAUACAUUGUCUUGUCCGACGAUGUGAGAUCAAAAAAGAAAUCGAUGAUCUGAGCUAAUCAGGUAAGGAAGGUUGAGGAGGAGUUCCGCACGGGCCUCUAUUCAUGCUCAUGUUGAUCAUCAAGAACAUUACGCAGGAAAAGGAGUAGGAAAGAUGAAGAGGACCCCUUGUCGGUGCUAGCAUCGCUGUUCCCUUUUCUCCUCUUGAUUUCUAUUCAACGCGGCCACAAGAAGGUGCGCAAACCAGCCGAAGCCAAGUCAGCACCGCGCCGCUUUGCUAGCAUCUUCGUGGGGGUGCCCCACAACAGGGAGGCUGUGGAUGCGGCACCUAGGCACGCCAGGUGUGGGGUGUCCGCGUCAUUUAAGCUUCUCGCACCCAAGUCCCACGGUGAUGAUCUUGAUGCUGCCGUUCAGGAGCUUGUCGGCAUCGGCGUCCAAAUGAAGGGCUUUGACCAGUGCUGCAGCGGUACUGAUGUCGCAAGAGAGGAUGCCACCGUCCUGCUGCUCACUUCCACUAGGACAAGUUGUCCAACCAUCAAGCACGAACGACAUUAAGCUUCCGAUUGGCCUAGUGCAGUGGGGGGUGUCACAUGCUCAGUGUCGAGGAUGAUGCUGCCAGGCCUUGGCACGACUCCACCUGGUCGACCGACUAUGCAGCGCGGCUUGGUUUUGGAAGGGAGUUGGUUUGAAGCUGGAGUUGGUUGCGUGCGAUGUCUGCUUGUUCUCCCGCUUGGCGUGACCCUGCUUACUGUCCAGCUGUGUUUAUGCGCUGUGUUUAUGUGCUGUGAAUACUGUUUCAGUUUAGUGUGAUACAAUUCAGUAUUCAAGUUGCAACCACGAGAAGUUGCAUGUUUAAAUGUUGACUUUGCACUUUGGUGGCAAUCUUGAUGAUUUUGAACUUGCACUUAUGGGAAAUGAAACCUGAGUUGAACUGUACA